AUUAAAUCUAUGAAUGAGAGUAGUAAUCUUUUUAGAUGCGUCACAGAGAGCCGGAAUAGGUGGAAACCGGUACGAUAUAAGAAGAUGAAUGGACUUAUGAGUGGUUUCUUGAAAAUAAGUAGGGAAACUCGGCUGCCACCGUUAAAGGGUAAUCGCAAGAAUUCAAUUCUUGCUUGAGAGGGAAAAAUGAUGCAUUUUUUCAACUUGAGGUGGCACCGCGGUAUACCGUCCUCUGC
rfam:Bacillus sp. FJAT-22058 super1, whole genome shotgun sequence.